GCAUUCUAAAGCGUUUGAUGAGUGCAGUGGCGGCAAAGGCUGCGUUCAAUUGUCGCCACUGCACUCAUUGAACGCGUUAGAAU
rnacentral:pre_miRNA from 1 species